GCUGGGCAUGUUGGCACACGCUUGUAAUCCCAGCGGCUUGGGAGGCUGAGGCAGGAGGAUCACAAGUUCAAUGCCAGCCUCACCAAAAGUGAGGCUCUAAGCAACUCAGUGAGACCCUGUCUCUA
rnacentral:sRNA from 1 species